AGGCCUUUACCCUCUUCAUACCCGUUCUUUGACAGCACUUUGGCUACCAUAGCCAUAGCCCCCUCCUUCCCGGUAUCUUGCAGUUCAAGGGCCUGGAAAGAACUCUCCAAUGAUUCCUCGGCCGCUUCCACAUAAGGAAGUGAUUGCGGCUUGGUGACCAGUAUGGCCUCUUCGCCCCUCACAGUGAUGAUUUUGCCGUCCUUAAUG
rnacentral:misc_RNA from 1 species